rnacentral:rRNA from 1 species
CCUACGGGUGGCAGCAGUGAGGAAUAUUGGUCACUGGGCGCGAGCCUGCACCAGCCAAGUCGCGUGAAGGCUGCCUGCCCUCCGGGUUGUAAACUUCUUUUAUAAAGGAGUAAAGUGAGGCACGUGUGCCUUUUUGUAUGUCUUUUAUGAAUAAGGAUAGGCUAACUCCGUGCCAGCAGCCGCGGUAAUACGGAGGAUCCGAGCGUUAUCCGGAUUUAUUGGGUUUAAAGGGAGCGUAGAUGGGUUGUUAAGUCAGUUGUGAACGUGUGCGGCUCAACCGUAAAAUUGCAAUUGAUACUGGCAGCCUUGAUUACAGUUGAGGUAGGCGGAAUUCGUGGUGUAGCGGUGAAAUGCUGAGAUAGCACGAAGAACUCCGAUUGCGAAGGCAGCCUACUAACCUGCCACUGACAUUGAUGCUCGAAAGUGUGGGUAUCAAACAGGAUUAGAUACCCCUGUAGGC